rnacentral:siRNA from 1 species
GCGGUGACUCAUAGGUCGGCUCGC